rnacentral:rRNA from 1 species
GACGAACGCUGGCGGCGUGCUUAACACAUGCAAGUCGAACGGAAAGGCCCUGCUUGCAGGGUACUCGAGUGGCGAACGGGUGAGUAACACGUGGGUGAUCUGCCCUGCACUUCGGGAUAAGCCUUGGAAACUGGGUCUAAUACCGGAUAGGAGCCAUUUUUAGUGUGAUGGUUGGAAAGUUUUUUCGGUGUAGGAUGAGCUCGCGGCCUAUCAGCUUGUUGGUGGGGUAAUGGCCUACCAAGGCGGCGACGGGUAGCCGGCCUGAGAGGGUGGACGGCCACAUUGGGACUGAGAUACGGCCCAGACUCCUACGGGAGGCAGCAGGGGGGAAUAUUGCACAAUGGGCGCAAGCCUGAUGCAGCGACGCCGCGUGGGGGAUGAAGGCCUUCGGGUUGUAAACUCCUUUCGCUAGGGACGAAGCUUUUUGUGACGGUACCUAGAUAAGAAGCACCGGCUAACUACGUG